GAUGAACGCUGGCGGCGUGCCUAAUACAUGCAAGUCGAGCGAACGGACGAGAAGCUUGCUUCUCUGAUGUUAGCGGCGGACGGGUGAGUAACACGUGGAUAACCUACCUAUAAGACUGGGAUAACUUCGGGAAACCGGAGCUAAUACCGGAUAAUAUUUUGAACCUCAUGGUUCAAAAGUGAAAGACGGUCUUGCUGUCACUUAUAGAUGGAUCCGCGCUGCAUUAGCUAGUUGGUAAGGUAACGGCUUACCAAGGCAACGAUGCAUAGCCGACCUGAGAGGGUGAUCGGCCACACUGGAACUGAGACACGGUCCAGACUCCUACGGGAGGCAGCGGUAGGGAAUCUUCCGCAAUGGGCGAAAGCCUGACGGAGCAACGCCGCGUGAGUGAUGAAGGUCUUCGGAUCGUAAAACUCUGUUAUUAGGGAAGAACAUAUGUGUAAGUAACUGUGCACAUCUUGACGGUACCUAAUCAGAAAGCCACGGCUAACUACGUG
rnacentral:rRNA from 1 species